rnacentral:rRNA from 1 species
GUAAAAGUCGUAACAAGGUCUCCGUUGGUGAACCAGCGGAGGGAUCAUUACCGAGUUUUCAACUCCCAAACCCUUAUGUGAACCUACCUAUCGUUGCUUCGGCGGACUCGCCCCAGCCGGACGCGGACUGGACCAGCGGCCGCCGGGGACCAUCAAACUCUUGUAUUAUCAGCAUCUUCUGAAUACGCCGCAAGGCAAAACAAAUAAAUUAAAACUUUCAACAACGGAUCUCUUGGCUCUGGCAUCGAUGAAGAACGCAGCGAAAUGCGAUAAGUAAUGUGAAUUGCAGAAUCCAGUGAAUCAUCGAAUCUUUGAACGCACAUUGCGCCCGCCAGCAUUCUGGCGGGCAUGCCUGCUCGAGCGUCAUUUCAACCCUCGACCUCCCUUUGGGGAAGUCGGCGUUGGGGACCGGCAGCACACCGCCGGCCCUGAAAUGGAGUGGCGGCCCGUCCGCGGCGACCUCUGCGUAGUAAACCAACUCGCACCGGAACCCCGACGUGGCCACGCCGUAAAACACCCAACUUCUGAACGUUGACCUCGAAUCAGGUAGGACUACCCGCUGAGCUUA